UACGUAGGCAGCAAGCGUUGUUCGGAUUUACUGGGCGUAAAGAGCGUGUAGGCGGUCUCGUAAGUUUGGUGUGAAAUCUCCCGGCUUAACUGGGAGGGUGCGCCGAAGACUGCGAUGCUGGAGUAUGGGAGAGGAAAGCGGAAUUCCUGGUGUAGCGGUGAAAUGCGUAGAUAUCAAGCGGAACACCGGUGGCGAAGGCGGCCUUCUGGGCAGUGACUGACGCUGAGGCGCGAAAGCGUGGGGAGCGAACAGG
rnacentral:rRNA from 1 species